rnacentral:rRNA from 1 species
ACGUACGCUGGCGGCACGCCUAACACAUGCAAGUCGAACGAAGUAGCAAUACUUAGUGGCAGACGGGUGAGUAACAUGUGGGUAUCUACCCUUUGGCCUGGAAUAACACGAGGAAACUUGUGCUAAUACCGGAUAAGUCUUUACGGAGAAAGCUUUAUGCACCAUUGGAUGAGCCUGCACUUGAUUAGUUUGUUGGUGGGGUAAUGGCCUACCAAGACUAUGAUCAAUAGCUGAUUUGAGAGGAUGAUCAGCCACAUUGGGACUGAGACACGGCCCAAACUCCUACGGGAGGCAGCAGUGGGGAAUCUUGCACAAUGGAGGAAACUCUGAUGCAGCGAUGCCGCGUGAGUGAAGAAGGCCCUUGGGUUGUAAAGCUCUUUCGUCGGGGAAGAAAAUGACUGUACCCGAAUAAGAAGGUCCGGCUAA